UCCUGGUUAGCUGAGUUUGUAGAGCGCUCCACUGGAAAUGUAGAGGUCACUGGUUCGAUACCAGGACCAGGCG
rfam:Ixodes scapularis strain Wikel colony gcontig_1108379248872, whole genome shotgun sequence.